UACGGAGGGUGCGAGCGUUGUCCGGAAUCACUGGGCGUAAAGGGCGCGUAGGUGGCUCGUGAAGCGUGCGGUGAAAGUCCGAGGCUCAACCUCGGAUCGGCCGUGCGGACUCGCGGGCUGGAGCGUUGUAGAGGAAGCUGGAAUUCCUGGUGUAGCGGUGAAAUGCGUAGAUAUCAGGAGGAACACCUAUGGCGAAAGCAGGCUUCUGGACCGUCACUGACGCUGAUCCGCGAAAGCUAGGGGAGCAAACAGG
rnacentral:rRNA from 1 species